ensembl:snRNA U6 U6 spliceosomal RNA
UUGCUUUUAACAGCACAUAGACUAAAACUUGAAUGAUUCUGAGUUUAGCAUGGCCCCUGUGCAAGGAUGACAUGCAAAUUCAUGAAGCACUCCAUGAAAAA